rnacentral:tRNA from 1 species
GGGCGGAUGGCGGAAUUGGUAGACGCGCUAGUCUUAGGAACUAGUGGGGAGACCCAUGGAGGUUCAAGUCCUCUUCCGCCCA